rnacentral:lncRNA from 1 species
AUCACAAUAACAUUAUACUGGAAUCAUAAGAGGGGCCAGGAAAAAUAGUUACCUCCAGUCCUUUAUGAUCCAAGAACAGAGACCACCUACCAUGCUCUUGCCUGAAGCAGGUUACAUUUCAAUUUUGAAAACAGCUCUCUGAGUUCAGCCAGCCUGCUGGCUAUACGCCUUCAUGGGCCCCCACCCCAGCAUCAGGACCCAGUAGCCUCAAUAGCCCUGUAUCACUUGAUCUUGCAGUCGUUUAUGGGAGGUACGGACUGUUCAGGGAGUAGGCACGAUUUAUUUUUGGUUCUUGUCUCUCUGGAGGGAAAUUAACUCCAGAUGACACAGCCAGGACGAAGGGAUGGUAGCUGAGCUCUUUCCCGGGAACCUGAGGGCGGCUGCUGACCCUGGAGAGGGUUAGACAACAGCGAGGAACCAAUCGGGACCCUCACUUGGCGGGGAGCCCCAGCUCACAGAUGAUGUUGAUCUGAUGAGCCCGGGUCUCCCAGAGAAUCGUAGAAAGUCAUUUUAAGGGACAUCCUGGCCAUCUCUGAUUUAAGAUGCAGGGACCCUGAGGCAGAGAGGGUCAAAUGACUCGCCCAAGGUCACAAUUAGGCAGGUGGCAGAAUGAAGCCUAGAACCCAAGUCAAUCAGCUCUCAGUUCAGUGCUUUUCCCAUAAUAGCCCAUCACCUCUUUCAAGCAAGAAAGGAUAGCAAGAAUUGGGCACUCAUCACCACCUUAUUUAAAGGGCAAUGCCAUCUUCCACCAGCAUCCCUCCAGCUGCUGCAUCCUCCUCUCAGCCUGGGAUGGUGUUUUCAGCUAAAUUACAGAUUCAGAUAACUAGGUCAAUGCCAGUGCAGGAUUUCUUCAGUAUGUUUAAGCUGACUAGAUAAACAUGUUGCAAACUUGGACCUGAAGGAGCCCUGAGGACCAGGAGGGGAAGGCGUGGGAGCAUAAGUGGUAGUAGAUGAGGUAAGUCAGGUGAGGUAAGGCUGAAGUGAGCUCCUCAAGGUGAGAGAGAGAGGGUGGGAGAGCAGCAAGGUUGGCACAGGGGCACAGGUGGCACAGAGACCCUGGGGAGGAGGCAAGGUGCGCAUGAGUCUGGGAAUCAUGAGUAGCUAGCUGGGGGCGGCGGUGUGGGGGGCGUGCUUACAGACUCCAUCAGAAUGGAGUUCUAACUGUCACACUUGUUUUCUGCCAAGAGGCUGUGGACAAGGAGCUGGGAAUCAGGAGCUGCCAAAGCAAGGGAGAACUUUCCACCCAGACUGGAUUCCCUAGGCUAGAGUGAACCACUGCAUAGAGUGGCCCGGCAGGAAGUGUGCUUUAUGGAGAUUUGCCGGGCAGCAGGUGUGGAAAUUGGCAGAGCGAGACAGGAAGAUGACUUUGAGGAUGGAAGGGCUCGAGGCAGAAAGCAGUUUGCAAACUGUUGAAAAUGACUUGGGCAGAGGUAAUUAAUUCCAUUCAGCGGUUAGCUGGUGCUCUUAUCCUGCACAUUUGGAAUGAUGGGGCUUGACAAGUCUGAUGCAGCUUUCCAGAAUAAAGGUAAAAGCAGACGUUUCACAGAAAAGCCAAAACAGAAUGCAUUCUUUUUACUGAUCCCUAAGCUCCGACUUUUCUCUCUGCCUCCAGCAGGGCUCCUCCAGAACACGCCCCGCCCCCCCCUCCUCUGCCCAGGUUCCCCUCUCUUUGGGGAAAGAGCCCCUGGUAGUUAUCAGGUGACCUCGAGUGACUCCCCACCCCACCCCCGCUCCACACGCACACAUACAGAUACAUGGACCAAACCACCUACUCAGCUUCGCUUCUCCUUUUUCACCAGAUUGAACAGAUAUCACAUCUAAGCAAACAUAAGCAGAAGGAAUAAACAUUUUCAAGCACCUUAGUUGAGCCUGUGGUUGCAGGAGCCCAGGAACCAUUCCUUAGCUCUCUCACAGCCACUGUCUUCUGGGACUCUGGGACAGGAAGCCUAGAAGUCCCAAGACCUGCCUUUGAGCUCCAGACAUGUGGCCUUGGGCAAAUCACUCCCCCACCCCAGUUCUGGGCUUCAGUUCCCUGAUCUGUAAACUGCAACAUCAUUCCAGAUGAUCCCAGAGGCCCUUCCUUUCCUGCAGUCUGUUCUCUCAGUCCUAGGGCCUUCCUCAGACCCCCCUCGGAGGGUGGAGGCACACAGCUGAAGAGGGUCCAGGGACAUUUACGGCGUCCUUCCCACUUCCCCACAAGGCACCCUCCAGAGACAUCCCAGGAAGGAGGUCUCCAGGGAGCAACAGUCCCCCUGGGGACCUGAGGGAUUAGCCGAGUCACCAGCAUAACUGAUGGAUACUGCAAUGAACUGUUAGAGCUGCUUGGGUGCCAGGAGCUACAGAGGGUGGUGGCAAACAGCGAGGAGCCUCACAUGGCAGAGGCUCCUGCCAUCCUGAUCCCAGGCCUUCUAAGCUAGAAAUGGAGCCUUGCUGCCUAGAUCCUUGGCACCCUGACUCCAGGGCCCACCAGCAGCCUGAACCCCCACCCUUGGGGCUCAGGAGCGGGUGCACAGGCCUGAGCGUCAGCAGAGAGGGGGGGUCGUCUGCAGCCAGGGGAGGGCCUUCUCCACCAGCCCACCCAAACGCAGCUUGGCUGCUGUCCUCUCUGAGUUUUUCAGAAGUGAAAAAAGAGAGAGGGCAGAGGGGGAGCUGGCAGGCUCUGGAACCCUUCUGUUUUCUCAAGGGCGUCGCAAUAGGUCCAAAAUGACUUUGGGUUUGAAAGUGAAAUGCCAGCUCAGAGCAGAUUCCUGACGAAUGUGGCCCAGAUGUUUCUGAGCGAUUUAUUUUUGCUAAUGGAAAAUGGCUGAGCUAAUAACCCUCGCAAGGCAUUGCUGGCGGGAGAACUAAGUCUGCUUUGCUUCUCUGCUCCUUGUAUUUGCUUGUGGUUUUCUUUUAGGGAAGAAAAGAAAGAAACUGGAUGUAGGACAAAGCCCAAGUUAACAACUUUGUCCAUUUGACAGCUAAUGCCAAAAUCCCAAGCCUAGAUAUUUUUUUUUUUGACCUGAUUUCUAUCAAUUAGUGAACAUUCACUGGGGCCCAAACACUUCUCAUUUAAUCACUAUGUCCUUUAAUCCUCUAAAGAGGCAACCAAGGCUCAGAGAGGUGAUGAGUCUGCCUCGAGUCACACAGCCAGUAAAACAGAGCUGAAAAUCAGACCCCUGUGAGACUCUGGAUCAAAAACCUUUCCACUAUGGUGCUGUGGAGAAACGACAGGGACCUCCAAGGUUGAAAGGGGACUUGGGGUGAGGGGAUGUCUUCCGAUUGAUCCAUCUGCUAUUUGUCAGCACAUCCAAGUUGUGCCCUAAACGUAAAGGUUUUAGUGAGUUCCCUUUCCUUAAAAGCACUGCUUUUUGGUUGUUUUUGUGUGUUUGUUUGUUUUGUCUUUUAGGGCCACGCCCGCGGCAUAUGGAGGUUCCAGCCAGAAACUUUGGCCAAGUAUUUUUAUCUAGACAAAGCAAUUGUCCUAAAAUGGGUCAUUAGAGUGCUUUUAAAAAACAUGCUCAAAGACAAAAAUUGACUUUUUAAUAAAUGGUGCUGAGACAAUCAGCUACCCACUGGGGAAAAAAAAAAAUAAUCAGACCCAUACUUCAUACCAUACACAAAAAUAAACCUCAAUCAGAUCAGAGAUCUAAAUGUAAAAAAUAAAUAAAAUCACACUAGCAGUAGGGAAAAAAU